CUUGACAUACCGAUGACAGGUCUAGAGAUUAGUAUUUUCCCUUUUUAGGGGCAUCGGAUACAGGUGGUGCAUGGUUGUCGUCAGCUCGUGUCGUGAGAUGUUGGGUUAAGUCCCGCAACGAGCGCAACCCCUAUUGUUAGUUGCCAUCAUUAAGUUGGGCACUCUAGCGAGACUGCCAGUAAUAAACUGGAGGAAGGUGGGGAUGACGUCAAAUCAUCAUGCCCCUUAUGACCUGGGCUACACACGUGCUACAAUGGGAAGUACAACGAGUUGCGAGGCGGUGACGCCAAGCUAAUCUCUUAAAGCUUCUCUCAGUUCGGAUUGUAGGCUGCAACUCGCCUACAUGAAGUCGGAAUCGCUAGUAAUCGCGGAUCAGCACGCCGCGGUGAAUACGUUCCCGGGCCUUGUACACACCGCCCGUCACACCACGAGAGUUUGUAACACCCGAAGUCGGUGAGGUAACCGUAAGGAGCCAACCGCCUAAGGUGGGAUAGAUGAUUGGGGUGAAGUCGUAACAAGGUAGGCGUAGAUGA
rnacentral:rRNA from 1 species